rnacentral:rRNA from 1 species
GAUGAACGCUGGCGGCGUGCCUAAUACAUGCAAGUCGAGCGAACGGACGAGAAGCUUGCUUUUCUGAUGUUAGCGGCGGACGGGUGAGUAACACGUGGAUAACCUACCUAUAAGACUGGGAUAACUUCGGGAAACCGGAGCUAAUACCGGAUAAUAUUUUGAACCGCAUGGUUCAAAAGUGAAAGACGGUCUUGCUGUCACUUAUAGAUGGACCCGCGCUGCAUUAGCUAGUUGGUAAGGUAACGGCUUACCAAGGCAACGAUGCAUAGCCGACCUGAGAGGGUGAUCGGCCACACUGGAACUGAGACACGGUCCAGACUCCUACGGGAGGCAGCAGUAGGGAAUCUUCCGCAAUGGGCGAAAGCCUGACGGAGCAACGCCGCGUGAGUGAUGAAGGUCUUCGGAUCGUAAAACUCUGUUAUUAGGGAAGAACAUAUGUGUAAGUAACUGUGCACAUCUUGACGGUACCUAAUCAGAAAGCCACGGCUAACUACGUG